UAGCUUUUUCACUGUGUUUGGAAGGCAAAACGUUAUCUUGGUUUAGGGUUGAAGAAGAUAUUUCAUCUUCCAUUGAUUGAGAUUACUUUAGCAGCUUGUUGUUUUUAUGUGGUCAAUUUGGGAGCUGUCUAUCUAGAAACAAUUAUUGAUUGUUACGUAUGUAGAUUUUCUUCUGAGUUAACAAAAUUACUGUGUUUGAUAGUGUUCAUCAUGUCGACGAUUCUAGCAGUGCAAUUUGAUCAAAAUCCAUUGGCCUAUAUUGAGCAUGGUGAAUAUUUGGAGUUAUGAAUGCAAUAGUAUUGAAUCUAGUUGAAGGUUUCAUACCAAUAAAUGUGUGCUGCAAUAUGAUGAUCUCUUGAUGUUGUCUUUCUCAUGGAAGUUUUGAAAUGUGGCUGACAAACAGACAUAACUUAAUCACUCAAAAUCUUUAUCCUCGAUUCUUCUUCAAUAUAUGCUCUCAGAUUGUUAUAUCCUUAUCUGAAGCAUAACUAUAUAUUACUCUUAUCUGCUCCUUGAGUUUUGAUGAUAUUUUUUUUAUCUGUAGUUUCAUUUUACUAAAAUUUUGGCAACUUAUGUCAUCAGUUGGUUUGUAAUGGUUUAUUUGUUGGCUCGCAGUAUCUGUGAUCUUCACGGGACCAUGAUUUAAUUGGGAAAUAUAAUUCAGUUAAGUGU